UGGGGGAUAUUGCGCAAUGGGGGAAACCCUGACGCAGCAAUGCCGCGUGAAGGAAGAAGGUCUUCGGAUUGUAAACUUCUUUUAUCAGGGACGAAAGAUGACGGUACCUGAAGAAUAAGCUCCGGCUAACUACGUGCCAGCAGCCGCGGUAAUACGUAGGGAGCAAGCGUUGUCCGGAUUUACUGGGUGUAAAGGGUGCGUAGGCGGUCAGGCAAGUCAGCUGUGAAAUGUAUGGGCUCAACCCAUAAAUUGCAGUUGAAACUGUUUGACUUGAGUGAAGUAGAGGUAGGCGGAAUUCCCAGUGUAGCGGUGAAAUGCGUAGAGAUUGGGAGGAACACCAGUGGCGAAGGCGGCCUACUGGGCUUUAACUGACGCUGAGGCACGAAAGCAUGGGUAGCAA
rnacentral:rRNA from 1 species